ACUCUGAGAGCCUAGCAGUAACCCAAGGUCUCCAAAGAUUAUGGGACACCAUGAUGUCUCCACCUGGAUUGUGAUGAAGCUGAUUCCAGCCCAGACUAUGAACAAACAGCAGGACCUUGGAGAAUUGAUUGCACCACUUUUGCCUAGACAAAAUAAGAGUCUGUGAACCAGAUGCUUCUGAUGGAUGCUCCAUUCCCUGACAUCCCUCCCUACGUUUGGCUGGCCUUUCAACCUACUUGGGCCCUGAUAACAAUGCUGCAAUGUCAGCUCGAAGUAGUUGUGGGACGAAAGGAAGGCUGCCGGGAACAGAGACUGGUGACAACAGCAAAGAAACAGCCUGUGGGAAGAAACCUUGAACUAAAGGAGUCAGAGAAGAACGGAACCAGAACCGGGUCUCUUCUGCCUUCACCACCCCUUAAAGGGAAGGGUCAUAAAAAUGGGAGGAGAUUUGAAUCCAUGUAAAGAACCAGGAUUGGUGCUGCGCAGUGGGGGGAGGGGAACUCUGUAGAUAAUAAAGGGAAACGAAAGAGUUAGAAUGUAAAACAAAAUGAGAACUCCGUCUGAAAAGAUUUUUUUUAAGCGAGGCCGAGGGAUAAGUUGGUUUGCUAUAAUCAUUGGUUCUGUACAGAUGGCUGCUGUGUUAGUCCCCUUCU